AACAUUUACUGGCUUUCCAUGCAGUUACUGGGUGUGAUACCACAUCAAAGUUGGCAUCAGUAACUAAAACUGGCGCAUGGAAACAUUACACAGAAGAAAAUUCAGCACUCCUUAGUGGACUUGGAGCUACCUCUGACCUGGCCAGCGAUGUACUCGACAAUAUCGAGCAAUUCGUGGUGCAAGCUUUGUACAAGGUUGGGCCAGACAUUACAAUGUCAAAUGCAGCGCGCGUUUCUCUUUUUGGAGCUGUAAAGGUGCUGGAAUUCUUGCCGCCUACCAGUGACGCACUGCGCUUGCAUAUCCUUCGGUGCCACUAUCAGGUUUUUGUGUGGAAAAACUCCCACGUGGCCUUCCCCGAACUACCUGACCCUAAAAAUUGUGGGUGGAAGGUGGAAGGCGGGCGAUAUGUGCCUAUUCUCAUGACUCUGCCAUCUAUCCCAAAGUCAU